GACGAACGCUGGCGGCGUGCUUAACACAUGCAAGUCGAACGGAAAGGCCCUGCUUUUGUGGGGUGCUCGAGUGGCGAACGGGUGAGUAACACGUGAGUAACCUGCCCUUGACUUUGGGAUAACUUCGGGAAACUGGGGCUAAUACCGGAUAGGAGCUCCUGCUGCAUGGUGGGGGUUGGAAAGUUUCGGCGGUUGGGGAUGGACUCGCGGCUUAUCAGCUUGUUGGUGGGGUAGUGGCUUACCAAGGCUUUGACGGGUAGCCGGCCUGAGAGGGUGACCGGCCACAUUGGGACUGAGAUACGGCCCAGACUCCUACGGGAGGCAGCAGUGGGGAAUAUUGCACAAUGGGCGGAAGCCUGAUGCAGCAACGCCGCGUGCGGGAUGACGGCCUUCGGGUUGUAAACCGCUUUCGCCUGUGACGAAGCGUGAGUGACGGUAAUGGGUAAAGAAGCACCGGCUAACUACGUGCCAGCAGCCGCGGUGAUACGUAGGGUGCGAGCGUUGUCCGGAUUUAUUGGGCGUAAAGGGCUCGUAGGUGGUUGAUCGCGUCGGAAGUGUAAUCUUGGGGCUUAACCCUGAGCGUGCUUUCGAUACGGGUUGACUUGAGGAAAGGUAGGGGAGAAUGGAAUUCCUGGUGGAGCGGUGGAAUGCGCAGAUAUCAGGAGGAACACCAGUGGCGAAGGCGGUUCUCUGGGCCUUUCCUGACGCUGAGGAGCGAAAGCGUGGGGAGCGAACAGGCUUAGAUACCCUGGUAGUCCACGCUGUAAACGGUGGGUACUAGGUGUGGGGUCCAUUCCACGGGUUCCGUGCCGUAGCUAACGCUUUAAGUACCCCGCCUGGGGAGUACGGCCGCAAGGCUAAAACUCAAAGGAGUUGACGGGGCCCCGCACAAGCGGCGGAGCAUGCGGAUUAAUUCGAUGCAACGCGUAGAACCUUACCUGGGUUUGACAUGGAUCGGGAGUGCUCAGAGAUGGGUGUGCCUCUUUUGGGGUCGGUUCACAGGUGGUGCAUGGCUGUCGUCAGCUCGUGUCGUGAGAUGUUGGGUUAAGUCCCGCAACGAGCGCAACCCUUGUUCACUGUUGCCAGCACGUUAUGGUGGGGACUCAGUGGAGACCGCCGGGGUCAACUCGGAGGAAGGUGGGGAUGACGUCAAGUCAUCAUGCCCCUUAUGUCCAGGGCUUCACGCAUGCUACAAUGGCUGGUACAGAGAGUGGCGAGCCUGUGAGGGUGAGCGAAUCUCGGAAAGCCGGUCUCAGUUCGGAUUGGGGUCUGCAACUCGACCUCAUGAAGUCGGAGUCGCUAGUAAUCGCAGAUCAGCAACGCUGCGGUGAAUACGUUCCCGGGGCU
rnacentral:rRNA from 1 species